rnacentral:rRNA from 1 species
UACAGAGGUCUCAAGCGUUGUUCGGAUUUAUUGGGCGUAAAGAGCUCGUAGGCGGUGUGUCACGUCGUUCGUGAAAACCUGCAGCUUAACUGUGGGCGUGCGGUCGAUACGGGCAUCACUGGAGUUCGGCAGGGGAGACUGGAAUUCCUGGUGUAGCGGUGAAAUGCGCAGAUAUCAGGAGGAACACCGGUGGCGAAGGCGGGUCUCUGGGCCGAUACUGACGCUGAGGAGCGAAAGCGUGGGGAGCAAACAGG